AGUACCCGGAGGAAAAGAAAUCAACCGAGAUUCCCUGAGUAGCGGCGAGCGAAAGGGGACUAGCCCUUAAGCAACUUGUGUUUUAAGAGAACAGUCUGGGAAGGCUGGCCAUAGUGGGUGAUAGCCCCGUAUCUGAAAAGGCACUUGUUGUGAAAUCGAGUAGGUCGGGACACGAGAAAUCUUGACUGAAUAUGGGGGGACCAUCCUCCAAGGCUAAAUACUCCUGAUUGACCGAUAGUGAACCAGUACCGUGAGGGAAAGGCGAAAAGAACCCCUGUGAGGGGAGUGAAAUAGAUCCUGAAACCGUAUGCGUACAAGCAGUCGGAGCGGACUUGUUCCGUGACGGCGUACCUUUUGUAUAAUGGGUCAGCGACUUAUGUUCAGUGGCGAGGUUAACCGUUUAGGGGAGCCGUAGGGAAACCGAGUCUGAAUAGGGCGAUUUAGUCGCUGGGCAUAGACCCGAAACCGGGCGAUCUAUCCAUGAGCAGGUUGAAGGUUGAGUAACAUCAACUGGAGGACCGAACCCACUGUCGUUGAAAAGCCAGGGGAUGACUUGUGGAUCGGAGUGAAAGGCUAAUCAAGCUCGGAGAUAGCUGGUUCUCCCCGAAAGCUAUUUAGGUAGCGCCUCGGACGAAUACCACAGGGGGUAGAGCACUGUUUCGGCUAGGGGGUCAUCCCGACUUACCAACCCGAUGCAAACUCCGAAUACCUGUGAGUACUAUCCGGGAGACACACGGUGGGUGCUAACGUCCAUCGUGAAGAGGGAAACAACCCAGACCGCCAGCUAAGGUCCCCAAAUACCAGUUAAGUGGGAAACGAUGUGGGAAGGCUUAGACAGCUAGGAGGUUGGCUUAGAAGCAGCCAUCCUUUAAAGAUAGCGUAACAGCUCACUGGUCUAAAUAAGUUGUCUUGCGGCGAAGAUGUAACGGGGCUCAAGCCAUGAGCCGAAGCUGAGGAUGCACAUAGUGCAUGGUAGCGGAGCGUAGUGU
rnacentral:rRNA from 1 species